rnacentral:rRNA from 1 species
GACGAACGCUGGCGGUGUGCUUAACACAUGCAAGUGGUGCGACGAACCUGGCUUCGGCCAGGGGCAAAGCCGCGAACGGGUGAGUAACACGUGGGUAAUCUGCCCCGAUGACUGGGACAACCCGAGGAAACUCGGGCUAAUACCGGAUGUGGUGCCUGGACAUAAGUCCGGUCACUAAAGGUAGCUUCGGCUUCCGCCUUGGGAGGGGCCCGCGGCCCAUUAGCUUGUUGGUGGGGUCAAGGCCUACCAAGGCAACGAUGGGUAGCUGGUCUGAGAGGACGAUCAGCCACACUGGGACUGAGACACGGCCCAGACUCCUACGGGAGGCAGCAGUGGGGAAUCUUGCGCAAUGCGCGAAAGCGUGACGCAGCAACACCGCGUGAGGGAAGACGGCCUUAGGGUUGUAAACCUCUUUCAGAUGGGACGAAGGUUGUCCGGUGAAUAGCCGAGAUGAUUGACGGUACCGUCAGAAGAAGCUCCGGCUAACUACGUGCCAGCAGCCGCCGUAA